AACGAACGCUGGCGGCAGGCCUAAUACAUGCAAGUCGAACGCCCCGCAAGGGGAGUGGCGCACGGGUGAGUAACACGUGGGAAUGUGCCCUUAGGUGCGGAACAACGUUUGGAAACGAACGCUAAUACCGCAUAAUAUCUCCGGAUCAAAGAUUUAUCGCCUAGGGAUCAGCCCGCGUUGGAUUAGCUAGUAGGUGGGGUAACGGCCUACCAAGGCGACGAUCCAUAGCUGGUCUGAGAGGAUGAUCAGCCACACUGGGACUGAGACACGGCCCAGACUCCUACGGGAGGCAGCAGUAAGGAAUAUUGGACAGUGGGGGCAACCCUGAUCCAGCCAUGCCGCGUGAGUGAUGAAGGCCUUCGGGUUGUAAAGCUCUUUUAGGUGUGACGAUGAUGACGGUAACACCAGAAAAAGCUCCGGCUAACUUCGUGCCAGCCGCCGCCGUAACAC
rnacentral:rRNA from 1 species